AGUUGCAGCUUGUUAAUGGAUUUGUUUAAUUCUUAUGUGAAAAUCUGGUCAUUUAAUAUUUUCUGUUGGUCCUUGAAUAUAUUGGGAAAUUUAAUAGAGUGCAGAUAUUUAGUGAUCUUAUCUAGGGAACAGUUAUUCUUUAUGUUAUAUAAGUUGGUAGAAAAACUAUUACUGUAUAUACUCGAGUAUAAGUCGACCCGAAUAUAAG